AUGAAGUUUUAGUGACUGAGUGGCGGACGGGUGAGUAACGCGUGGGUAACCUGCCUCACACAGGGGGAUAACAGUUGGAAACGGCUGCUAAUACCGCAUAAGCGCACAGUACCGCAUGGUACAGUGUGAAAAACUCCGGUGGUGUGAGAUGGACCCGCGUCUGAUUAGCUAGUUGGCAGGGCAACGGCCUACCAAGGCGACGAUCAGUAGCCGACCUGAGAGGGUGACCGGCCACAUUGGGACUGAGACACGGCCCAAACUCCUGCGGGAGGCAGCAGUGGGGAAUAUUGCACAAUGGGGGAAACCCUGAUGCAGCGACGCCGCGUGAGCGAAGAAGUAUUUCGGUAUGUAAAGCUCUAUCAGCAGGGAAGAAGAAAUGACGGUACCUGACUAAGGAGCACCGGCUAAAUACGUGCCAGCAGCCGCGGUAAUACGUAUGGUGCAAGCGUUAUCCGGAUUUACUGGGUGUAAAGGGAGCGCAGGCGGAAGGCUAAGUCUGAUGUGAAAGCCCGGGGCUCAACCCAGGUACUGCAUUGGAAACUGGUCAUCUAGAGUGUCGGAGGGGUAAGUGGAAUUCCUAGUGUAGCGGUGAAAUGCGUAGAUAUUAGGAGGAACACCAGUGGCGAAGGCGGCUUACU
rnacentral:rRNA from 1 species